rnacentral:tRNA from 1 species
GCCUUCGUGGUGUAACGGUAGCACACUCGGCGCCUAUUCGAGAGGUCCAGGUUCGAGUCCCGGCGAAGGCA